UCCGUAGGCGGGCAAUUAAGUCAGAAGUGAAAUCCCACAGCUCAACUGUGGAACUGCCUUUGAUACUGGUUGUCUUGAGUUACAGUGAAGUAGAUAGAAUAUGUAGUGUAGCGGUGAAAUGCAUAGAUAUUACAUAGGAUACCGAUUGCGAAGGCAGUCUACUAACUGUAUACUGACGCUAAUGGACAAAAGCGUGGGGAGCGAACAGGAUUAGAUACCCUGGUAGUCC
rnacentral:rRNA from 1 species